rnacentral:tRNA from 1 species
ACUUUUAAAGGAUCACAGUAAUCCAUUAGUCUUAGGAGCUAAAAUUCUUGGUGCAACUCCAAGUAAAAGUA